AGGCAGGCAGUAAGAUUUACUUCCGGAAGACUGCCGUGUUUGGGGUCGGAUGGAGGAUGUGAGGGAAACGCAGUAGUACCACCGGAGUCAAUGCCACCUGAGCUUAAACUGGGAGCUGCGAGAUCCAGCUUCAGUUCCCGUUACUCUCACCCUCUUUUAUGCGAAGGCUUCUGCCUGCUCUCUCUUUUCGGAACCCGAGGGCGGAUGCUGGAGCAUGUGAAGUCAUACUAGAAAGGAAAGUGCCUCAUAAGCAUGUGCAGAGUGCUUUUCUCUCAACAUCACUCUGUCCCCGCAGCAUUCAGGUUUAAACAGCAGGUUGCAGAGCAUCCUGACUGGUUCGACCAGGGUCCCGGCAUUGCUGUUUUGAUCAGCACUGACACCAGGGACAGACAGGUAGGUGCAUAUGUGAACGUGCCCCUAAAUAUAGUGAGGACUGCAACCUUGAGCUCUAAUGGGAACGGCUGCGCCCCCUUCCUCUUCAGCUCCCCGAGUGCACACCUGAUUCCUUUCUUAUAUUUGCUUUGUAUAGCUCAAACACAGUUUCGUAAUAGAUCCCUUCGGACUGGUGUUUUAUUUAUUUUUUGCCGUGGCUGACACUGUUUUUGAUUUUUAAUCCGGAUUCAUUUCGGAUCGCUCAGGUUGGGGUCCUCCUCUGUCUUUUACUAGAAAACGUGCUUCCUGAGACAAAGAAGCAACAUCUUCCCUACUCUCCCAGCUUUGCAGGUCAGGAUCAAAAGACACCAGGUGUCAAGGCAGGUGUGCUGCCGGCCCUUUUACAAGCGAAUCGUCGCAUUUGGCGGAUUCAGAUACCGGCAUGCAUACAUUCUCAUUGGGGUCUGUACGUGUCUGGAUAAAGAGGCCACCUAGAGCUGCAAUUCGAGACCAGCCUCCUGAAUAGAACCAACCUUCCGCGAUGCGCUCCUAUUGUUGAACCACAGCGAGAUCUACAGGUCCAAGGAGGCAGAGGCAUCCUUUGCACGGGAAACGCGCUGCUAUUCGCCGGUCUGGGAGACUCUGAAGUUCCCCCAAAAGGAGAACCUAAACCAGUUAAACCGGAUGAAAUUGGAUUAAGGUCCACUGGAGAAUUUGGCAUCGACUCAGGUUUGUUCCGGCUUAAGCAGCUUGUAGAUCGGGAUGGUAAGGGAUUUCCUUUUCUUUUUUUUGAGAGAGGAAAAAAAAAUCUACAAGUCAACGCCACGGCACCAGAGAUUCUGGACGACCCAAGAAACGGCGAGUUUCCCCAGAGAUUCUGGACGGCCACAAAACGAAGCUGGCUAAGAACUGCCAUCCCCGCAGAAGAGAACGUUGCGCCCGAUCCUAAACAGAUAACCAGUUGUCCGGAAGUGGAGUCGCUGCAGCCGACAGGAGUGGACUUCGACCUUCCAGGCAGCCUGAUCUAACUCCGUUAAACUAAAGCCCAGUGGGGGCAAGGGAUUAAAACUGGUUUAAUCCCCAGUAUUUUGGUUUACAUCCGCCAACAAAUACAACUAACCCAGCACUGGGUCCUCA